rnacentral:rRNA from 1 species
GCAGGCUGCAACCCGCCUGCAUGAAGUUGGAAUUGCUAGUAAUCGCGGAUCAGCAUGCCGCGGUGAAUACGUUCCCUGGCCUUGUACACACCGCCCGUCACACCAUGGGAGCCGGUAAUACCCGAAGUCAGUAGCCUAACCGCAAGGGGGGCGCUGCCGAAGGUAGGAUUGGCGACUGGGGUGAAGUCGUAACAAGGUAAC